rnacentral:rRNA from 1 species
AGCCGUGGCUUUUUCUGAGGGUACCGUCAUUUUGUUCGUCCCCCCUAAAAGGAGUUUACAAUCCUAAGACCUUCAUCCUCCACGCGGCGUUGCUGGAUCAGGCUUUCGCCCAUUGUCCAAAAUUCCC